rnacentral:rRNA from 1 species
UACAGGGGGUGCAAACGUUGCUCGGAAUCAUUGGGCGUAAAGCGCACGUAGGCGGCCUGUUAUGUCGGAUGUGAAAGCCCGCGGCUCAACCGCGGAAGUGCCCCUGAUACUGCCGGCCUCGAGGGAGGUAGGGGCGUGCGGAACUUCCGGUGGAGCGGUGAAAUGCGUAGAUAUCGGAAGGAACACCGGUGGCGAAAGCGGCGCGCUGGACCUCUUCUGACGCUGAGGCGCGAAAGCCAGGGGAGCAAACGGG